AAACUUCGAAGUGCAUUUUUAACUACCGAGCUAGAGUGUGUCAGAGGGAGGUGGAAUUCCGCGUGUAGCAGUGAAAUGUGUAGAUAUGCGGAGGAACACCGAUGGCGAAGGCAGCCUCAUGGGAUAACACUGACGCUCAUGCACGAAAGCGUGGGGAGCAAACAGGAUUAGAUACCCUGGUAGUCCACGCCCUAAACGAUGUCAACUAGCUGUUGGGGCCUUCGGGCCUUGGUAGCGCAGCUAACGCGUGAAGUUGACCGCCUGGGGAGUACGGUCGCAAGAUUAAAACUCAAAGGAAUUGACGGGGACCCGCACAAGCGGUGGAUGAUGUGGAUUAAUUCGAUGCAACGCGAAAAACCUUACCUACCCUUGACAUGUCUGGAAUUCCGAAGAGAUUUGGAAGUGCUCGCAAGAGAACCGGAACACAGGUGCUGCAUGGCGGUCGUCAGCUCGUGUCGUGAGAUGUUGGGUUAAGUCCCGCAACGAGCGCAACCCUUGUCAUUAGUUGUUACGAAAGGGCACUUUAAUGAGACUGCCGGUGACAAACCGGAGGAAGGUGGGGAUGACGUCAAGUCUUCAUGGCCCUUAUGGGUAGGGCUUCACACGUCAUACAAUGGUCGGGACAGAGGGUCGCCAACCCGCGAGGGGGAGCCAAUCCCAGAAACCCGAUCGUAGUCCGGAUCGCAGUCUGCAACUCGAUUGCGUGAAGUCGGAAUCGCUAGUAAUCGCGGAUCAGCAUGUCGCGGUGAAUACGUUCCCGGGUCUUGUACACACCGCCCGUCACACCAUGGGAGUGGGUUUUACCAGAAGUAGUUAGCCUAACCGCAAGGGGGGCGAUUACCACGGU
rnacentral:rRNA from 2 species